rnacentral:rRNA from 1 species
AGCGAACGCUGGCGGCAGGCUUAACACAUGCAAGUCGAGCGGGCAUAGCAAUAUGUCCGCGGCAGACGGGUGAGUAACGCGUGGGAACGUACCUUUUGGUUCGGAACAACUGAGGGAAACUUCAGCUAAUACCGGAUAAGCCCUUACGGGGAAAGAUUUAUCGCCGAAAGAUCGGCCCGCGUCUGAUUAGCUAGUUGGUGAGGUAAUGGCACACCAAGGCGACGAUCAGUAGCUGGUCUGAGAGGAUGAUCAGCCACAUUGGGACUGAGACACGGCCCAAACUCCUACGGGAGGCAGCAGUGGGGAAUAUUGGACAAUGGGCGCAAGCCUGAUCCAGCCAUGCCGCGUGAGUGAUGAAGGCCCUAGGGUUGUAAAGCUCUUUUGUGCGGGAAGAUAAUGACGGUACCGCAAGAAUAAGCCCCGGCUAACUUCGUG